AUGCUAACUUUGACAAAUUCUGUGACUGUCCAUGUGACUGUCUGGUGCCAUGACAUUUUCAUUUUUUUUUUGUACCGACUUGGUACCGAAGAACCGGAUCUUUUGAUAACACUAUCACACACACUCACACACUCACACACUCGCUCACACUCACACUUUCACUCACUCACUCUCACUUACUCUCACUCACUCACACACACACACACACACACACAAGCUCACUCACUCACUUACACACUCACUCGCUCACUCACUCACUCUCACACACACACACACAAGCUUACUCACACACACACUCACUCAAAUACUCACUCACUCACACAUUCUCGCUUACUCGCUCUCACUUACUCUCUCACACACACUCACUCACUCGCUCACUCAAACACUCACUCACACUCACUCACUCACUCAUUCUCACAUAGACUCGCUCACUCACUCACUCACACACACAUACACUCGCUCACUCAACUCUCACUCACUCGCUCACUCACUCUCACACACUUACACUCGCUUACUCACUCUCACACACACACUUACACUCGCUUACUCACUCUCACACACACACACACACACUCGCUCACUCACUCACUUAUUCACUCACACUCACUCAAUCACACUCGCACACGCACUCACUCACUCGCUCACACACACUCACUCGCUCACACACACUCACUCAAACACACACACUCACUCAAACACACACACUCACUCAAACACACACGCUCACACACACUCACUCGCUCACACACACUCACUCGUUCACACACACUCACUCGCUCACACACACUCACUCAAACACACUCGCUCACUCAAACACACUCGCUCACUCAAACACACUCGGUCACUCGCUCACACACACUCACUCGCUCACACACACUCGCUCAAACACACACACUCACUCAAACACACUCGCUCACUCACUCGGUCACUUGCUCACACACACUCACUCAUUCACACACUCAUUUUUUUAUAUCUACCGAUCUCCAUUUCCAAAUCAUGAUCACGGAGUCGAUAUUUUAA
rnacentral:lncRNA from 1 species